GUGCUCGCUUCAGCAGCACAUAUACAAAAUUGGAACGAUACAGAGAAGAUUAGCAUGGUCUCAGAGCAAGGAUGACAUGCAUAUUCGUAAAGUGUUCCAUGUUUUU